rnacentral:rRNA from 1 species
AGUGAACGCUGGCGGUAGGCCUAACACAUGCAAGUCGAACGGCAGCACAGUAAGAGCUUGCUCUUACGGGUGGCGAGUGGCGGACGGGUGAGGAAUACAUCGGAAUCUACUUUUUCGUGGGGGAUAACGUAGGGAGACUUACGCUAAUACCGCAUACGACCUAAGGGUGAAAGCAGGGGAUCUUCGGACCUUGCGCGAUUGAAUGAGCCGAUGUCGGAUUAGCUAGUUGGCGGGGUAAAGGCCCACCAAGGCGACGAUCCGUAGCUGGUCUGAGAGGAUGAUCAGCCACACUGGAACUGAGACACGGUCCAGACUCCUACGGGAGGCAGCAGUGGGGAAUAUUGGACAAUGGGCGCAAGCCUGAUCCAGCCAUACCGCGUGGGUGAAGAAGGCCUUCGGGUUGUAAAGCCCUUUUGUUGGGAAAGAAAAGCAGCAGGUUAAUACCCCGCUGUUCUGACGGUACCCAAAGAAUAAGCACCGGCUAACUUCGUG